GAUGAAGAACGUAGCGAAAUGCGAUAAGUAAUGUGAAUUGCAGAAUUCAGUGAAUCAUCGAAUCUUUGAACGCACCUUGCGCUCCUUGGUAUUCCUUGGAGCAUGCCUGUUUGAGUAUCAUGAAAUCUUCAAAAUCAAACUUUUUGUUAACUCAAUUAGUCUGAUUUUGGUAUUGGAGGUCUUUGCAGCUUCACACCUGCUCCUCUUUGUGUAUUAGCUGGAUCUCAGUGUUAUGCUUGGUUCCACUCAGCGUGAUAAAUUAUCUAUCGCUGAGGACACCGUAAAAAGUGGCCAAGGUAAAUGCAGAUGAACCGCUUCUAAUAGUCCAUUGACUUGGACACUAUUUUUAUGAUCUGAUCUCAAAUCAGGUAGGACUACCCGCUGAACUUAAGCAUAUCAAUAAGCGGAGGA
rnacentral:misc_RNA from 1 species